rnacentral:rRNA from 1 species
AUUGAACGCUGGCGGCAGGCCUAACACAUGCAAGUCGAGCGGGAACUUCGGUUCUAGCGGCGGACGGGUGAGUAAUGCGUAGGAAGCUACCCGACAGAGGGGGAUACCAGUUGGAAACGACUGUUAAUACCGCAUAAUGUCUACGGACCAAAGUGUGGGACCUUCGGGCCACAUGCUGUCGGAUGCGCCUACGUGGGAUUAGCUAGCUGGUGAGGUAAUGGCUCACCAAGGCGACGAUCCCUAGCUGGUUUGAGAGGAUGAUCAGCCACACUGGAACUGAGACACGGUCCAGACUCCUACGGGAGGCAGCAGUGGGGAAUAUUGGACAAUGGGCGCAAGCCUGAUCCAGCCAUGCCGCGUGUGUGAAGAAGGCCUUCGGGUUGUAAAGCACUUUCAGUAGGGAGGAAGAGUUGAGUGUUAAUAGUACUCAGCUUUGACGUUACCUACAGAAGAAGCACCGGCUAACUCUGUGCCAGCCGCCGCCGUAAGAC